rnacentral:rRNA from 1 species
UGGGGAAUAUUGGACAAUGGGCGCAAGCCUGAUCCAGCCAUGCCGCGUGUGUGAAGAAGGCCUUUUGGUUGUAAAGCACUCUAAGCGAGGAGGAGGCUACUUGGAUUAAUACUCUAAGAUAGUGGACGUUACUCGCAGAAUAAGCACCGGCUAACUCUGUGCCAGCAGCCGCGGUAAUACAGAGGGUGCGAGCGUUAAUCGGAUUUACUGGGCGUAAAGCGUGCGUAGGCGGCUUCUUAAGUCGGAUGUGAAAUCCCUGAGCUUAACUUAGGAAUUGCAUUCGAUACUGGGAAGCUAGAGUAUGGGGGAGGAUGGUAGAAUUCCAGGUGUAGCGGUGAAAUGCGUAGAGAUCUGGAGGAAUACCGAUGGCGAGGGCAGCCAUCUGGCCUAAUACUGACGCUGAGGUACGAAAGCAUGGGGAGCAAACAGG